GGGGGGGGACGUUCCCGAGGGACGGCCGCGCGGAGCCGGUGCAGGCGGGCGCGGUCGGUGCGGGGGUUCCUUCCCUUGUUCCCAUGGCGACACAGACAGAGAGGGUGAGCAAGAGAGAGGGGCGCAGCCAUCCUAACGCAGGCAGAAGCGGGGUUUGACUGCACCAGAAAUGCUCCCAGUGCUCUCAUGCCGCGGCAAACAAAAAAAAAAUCACAACAGCCACAGCAAACAAUCUUUUACAAGCAGCAAAUAUCCUACAGCAAUGCUGAGGGAUGAGACUCCCAACUUUCACCCUGAAA